rnacentral:lncRNA from 13 species
GGAGCCCCUACCAAACCACAUUGAGAAUUAAAGAACAAAAGAGUAAAGUGCAAGCGAGCUUCCUCUACCCCAAACAACAGGCAAGCUACUUCUAGCGAUUAGAUGAGAGCAGAGGAAGACGGACACGACCCACAACCAAUCCCUCUCCUCACCAGGGUCGAAUACGGCUGUUCCCCAGCUGAUAACCUGCUACAGUAACACUGCUAGUUACAAAACGGAGUUCAGGUCUCGGUAACACCGGGAUCCUGUCACCUAUAGCUUCACUGAAACCUGUUUUAAAACACUCUCUCAGGGAACGAGGAGAAACAGGAGAGGGAUGGGACAGUCUCCUCCCGAGCUGCCACCAAAAACUGUUCUGCCAGCUGCAGGGGGGCUGCCGGCGACCUCGCAGCCGCAUCCACCCAGCUCUUAGAGGGAAGGAGAGGGAGCGGGAGGGACCCCGGCUCCGGCUACCCUGGCUGCGCUGCCCGCCUGCCCACGCGUGUGCCCCGGGGGAAGCUGCCCGGUGCGGCGGGGGCAGCGCCGGACGCUGGAGACCCGUUCUACCCGCGCUGCAGCAGCGACUGCAAUUAAAAAAAAAAAAAAAAAAAAAAGGAAGAAAAGAAAAAUAAAUAAAUAAAUUGCCCGCUAGCGGGAAUGGGAAAAUAAAAGCCCAGCCGAAACAGGCGGACCCCAAACGACAACAAACACCGGGCGCCAAGGAGAGCAAACUUUCUGACUCACUGGGAAGAGCCAGUGCCCGGGGGGCGCCGGGCAGCGGCGGGGGCGGCGCGCGGCCCCGCGGGAGCGCAGCCGGAGCAGGAGCCGGAGCCGAGCGAGGCGGGCGCCGCAGGCGGGGCUGGGGCAGCGCGUCUCGCCCUGCUCCCGCCGCCCUCCCCUCCCUCCUUCCCCGUCCCUCUGCAGCGCCAGGAGCCGCCCGGGGCGGGCUGCCGCCGCGGGACCGCCGUACCUACCGCUGCCGGUGCGGGGCCGCGGAGCAGCGGGAGCCGCCGCCGCCACCCCCCUUCGGCGGCUGCCGGGCCCGGCGGCGCUGCAGCAGGCGGAGGACGCCCCGCGGCGGCGAGGAGCGCGGGGCCGAGGUGCGGAGAGGCGGCGGCCAGCGAGGCACGGGCAGCGCGGUGCCUCUGCCCGUCCGGCUGUGUGAGCGUGCGUGUUGGUACAGAGAUGAGUUCCAGCCAAGACCUCACUUUCUUAUGUCCUGAAUAGCUCUUGGGAAGUUGCUGGCUUGACCCUGGAGACUUAACAGUCUAAUUUUUUAAUAACUGAAGGAUUAUUUUUUUUAAUUUAAAAAAGGACUCAUUUUAGCUGUCGCAUAAGCAUGCAUUAUAUCCCAAUACUUCAAUUGGAGCUGCACAGGCAUAUCUGAGAGCACAAUUAGGCCCUCUGGACCUUUUAAAGCUUCAAAAAUAGUCAUGUGUAAUUCCUUCUUCUGUGGAUCCUGCAAGCUUUAAGAGAUUUUUUGAAAGCUGUAAAUUCCUAUUUAUCCACUAAGAGGCUCACGGGCAAUCUUCCCCUAAUGGAAAUAGAACUGUAAAGCUGAAACAUUAAUAUACACAAUAGGAUACAUUAGGCAGGGAGACUCGUCGGAGCCAACAAGAGGGCACAGCGGCCAUGCCGCGACGGAGCCGGAGCCAAACAGGUUCACUCCACUUUCUUGGCUUCCUGCAUGCAGGGUUCACUAUCUGAUUUAUAUCGUUAGUACUGCACAGUUCCCUCUUUAAAAAUAAAUAAAUAAAAAAAACAACAGACCCAUCUGACCUUUGAAUCCCUCAUCUGCAUUGGCUGGCAGCUGGCGCUGGCGAAUCGGAGGGCACAGUUUGGUCUAAAAGCAAGACAGCUAUUCCCCAAUAACUGCGCUGUUAAUAUGCAAAUCUCAGCCCUCUGCCAACUGUAAUCUCCCGCCUCUGAUUGGCUUCAGUGAUGACAAAGAUCCAGGUUAUUCAUUAGCAGGGAAAAUAUGCUCUCCAGGUUCCCCCUUAAGAUGAAGCAUUAUAAAGCCUCAAGAACAUGCAGGCUAGUGACAAACAACAACAAAACAAGACAAAGAGAAGCCAACAAAAUGGGAUUAAAAACACAGUAAAAGAGAAAACUGCAUUUAAAAAUUUUCCUGAUUCCUUUUCUUCUUCCUUGCUUUCCCUCGGGAGUUUUGCCAGUGACUGCAGAUGGGCCAUUUUUGUUUUGGUUUUUUUUUUCCAACCCUUGUUUUCUACAUAUGAUGUUGUACUCAAGUUCACAGCAGAAGGCUUGAAUUUGUUCUGAGAACGUAAUUUCUGUGCUGGAAGGCGUGCACGUGUCUGUCUCCGUGAGUCAGCUUUCUUGGCUGGCAAACAGAAUACUAGGAGGCAAUGUAUCAACAUGUAUUGAUAAAUAUCUUGAUACCAAAAAUGGAAUGGAGCAAUUGAGCAAGAAGCAGUCCAUGGUUCAACACUUCAAAAGCCAUUGUAAAAAUCAGCCACCAAUAUCCGCACCAAUAUUGGUUUAUUCUUCACAGAAGGCCAGACUUAGCUAACCUCUGAACUUAGCAGAAUGUUCUGCAAGACAUGAGCUGAUGGGAAUGCUUGUGCCAACUAAACUGUCGAGACAAACAGAUCAUUUUCCAUCAGCAUCCAAUACAGCAUACAAGAGUAAGAUGUGUUCUGCAUUACAUGGAAUAAAAACUAAAUAAUUCUACCGACUCUAAUAGUGUUAAAUUCUGAGGAACCUUUGCAGAACUGGGUUGGGCUUGGGUGUCUCCAAAGCAGGUGUGCAGCCACUCUGCUCCUCCAUCUUUGGCUUUAUUUUGUAAAUUUUUCUUUGUUCUUGCAAUUCACCUUUCCUGAAACACAACAAGGUGCACUCUAUUCACUCCAGUACAGAUGCAGCCAGCUCUCCUGCUUCCUGCUUUGAGGUUGGAGAUGAGAUCAAGUUGGUAACUUCAUAGAUCAAUGUAUCUGGGCUGAAAUUGUGUUCCCAAUAAAAUCAGUAUUAAUUUUAUCAUCUGUUUUGUCACAACUGUGAUUUUGCUUCUCAAGGCUGGCAGCAGAGUGUUUUUGGAGGACUGAGCAUUGAUUUUAAUUUCUCAGUAAGAUCAAGAAGGCCAGGUGCUAUUAGUGUUCAGUGAGUGACUCUUUUCUUUCCUCAGGCUUUUCACCAAGGGGAAGCUAGAUAAUUUUUCUGUGGGUGGACAAUCCCUCUGACUAAAAAGAAGCCGAGUUCUGAGAAGUACUGUAAUCUUGCCUGUUUCUCACAAAGCAGGUAAAAUGGCUCCUCACACAAAUUACCAGACAAAAAGUGAAGCACACACACCUGUGGGGAACCUGCAGUGAGAGUGUGAUAGGGUUACCUGACUGCAAGUCCUUGAAUACCUGGGAAGGAUGGAGGGCUGAGCUCAGAGAGGGCUUCACACAGGGCUUUUGAUUAACUUGCCACAGAGAGAGAUGGCUGUGAAAAAUAGAGAACUAUGCCACAAAGCCACUUUCCUUUUCUGUGUCACGCAUCUCAGAUACAAAGAUAAUGGGAACAGCACAGAGAAAUGCAGGCAGAUAUCUGAAA